rnacentral:rRNA from 1 species
UACAGAGGUCUCAAGCGUUGUUCGGAUUCAUUGGGCGUAAAGGGUGCGUAGGCGGCGCGGUAAGUCGGGUGUGAAAUCUUGGAGCUUAACUCCGAAACUGCAUUCGAUACUGCCGUGCUUGAGGACUGGAGAGGAGACUGGAAUUUACGGUGUAGCGGUGAAAUGCGUAGAUAUCGUAAGGAAGACCAGUGGCGAAGGCGGGUCUCUGGACCGUUCCUGACGCUGAGGCACGAAGGCCAGGGGAGCAAACGGG